rnacentral:rRNA from 1 species
CCCUUAGAUGUUCUGGGCCGCACGCGCGCUACACUGAUGCAUUCAACGAGCCUAUCCUUGACCGACAGGUCCGGGUAAUCUUUGAAUCUGCAUCGUGACGGGGAUAGAUUAUUGCAAUUAUUAAUCUUCAACGAGGAAUUCCUAGUAAACGCGAGUCAUCAGCUCGCAUUGAUUACGUCCCUGCCCUUUGUACACACCGCCCGUCGCACCUACCGAUUGAAUGUUUCGGUGAAGAUUCCGGAUAGGACUUUUUUGAUUUAUUUCAAUUUUGUCUUAAAAGCUAUCUAAACCUCAACAUUUAGAGGAAGGUGAAGUCGUAACA